rnacentral:lncRNA from 1 species
UGGCCUGGACAAACACUGGGUCUCCCCACCCCAGGCCUGAGCUUGCCACCUCCCAAAGCAUCUGAUCUGGAGCUGGUAAGAACCUGAGCUUUGGGUAUCCAGUUUCCCUACCUGGCCUGGUCUCUCCUCCUGGCACAUCAGGUGGGUGCCAGGCACUGAGCCCUGGGGCUGGCCAGGAGGGCUGCAUGGUGAGGAUGCAAAGAAGCCAGCCCUGUGCUUUCAGAGGGCAGCUGGGGCCUCUUCAUCUGCCUGUGGGUGGGGAAUGACUCUUGGGGUGACGGCAGCAGCAGGAGACUCUAGUGAAGCUGCAGGAAGGGCCCAGUGCCCAGAGGUGGAGGGUGAACAAGGGCCUCGGGGAAGGAGAUACAGGCCUAACACUGGGGUGCUGGGUACCUCGAGAAUGCACCUUUCCCUCCGUGGGCCUUAGCUUCCCCAUCUGCAAAAUGGGGGCGCUAAUGCAAACUCCAGGAGAAGAUGGAGGGAGAGACGGCAUCACUGGAAGAGCUAGUUUGGGAAACCUAACCAGGCAACGGUCAAGGGAGGGGGCGGGACAGAGACAAGGAUCUUAGAGGAGUGUUUGCUCUUCCUGGGAUACAGCUGUUGCCAGGCAUCCAGGGGACAGGCCCAGACACAGCUGUCGGGGGCGGGGUUGGGGGUGGAGGGGUUGCUCUCUAGGCAGGCACAGCUGUACUGGCUGGGGCACCCCAGGGUUCCAGCAGCGGGAGGGAAGGGUGCAAGCUGAGGGCUGGGCGGGCCUGCCGAGAGCCUGUGGUGGUUAACCCCUUCCGGAACGCAGUCCACAGCCAGCAGCCCUGUGUGGUAAGGGCGAGAUCACCGCAUUUGCACCCAUGUGGGACGGUGGCUCCAGCUUGGUGAAGACUGGCUUCUCAGGCCACGUUUCCCUCCAUCAUGGGCUGGCCCCCAGACUCACCCCUACCAGGCUGGAACCACAUCCAGGCCCCUCUGCCUUCUGAGCCCCUAGCCUGCGCUCAUAGCUCCAAUACCCAUGGGCCUCUCUUGUUUCUGGACCCCUGAUCAGCUUAGGGCAGGUCCCCACUCCUUUUCAUG